UGGGGAAUCUUGCGCAAUGGACGGAAGUCUGACGCAGCCACGCCGCGUGCAGGAAGACACCCCUCAGGGGCGUAAACUGCUUUUGUACGGAAAGAACACCUCCCCUCGGGGAGGCCUGACGGUACCGUACGAAUAAGGACCGGCUAACUCCGUGCCAGCAGCCGCGGUAAUACGGAGGGUCCAGGCGUUGUCCGGAAUCACUGGGUGUAAAGGGUGCGCAGGCGGGCGUGUAAGUCAGGGGUGAAAGCCACCGGCCUAACCGGUGAACUGCCCUUGAUACUGCACGUCUUGAGUCCCGGAGAGGCUAUCGGAAUUCGUGGUGUAGCGGUGAAAUGCGUAAAUAUCACGAGGAACACCUAAUGCGUAGGCAGAUAGCUGGACGGGUACUGACGCUCAGGCACGAAAGCGUGGGUAGCGAACAGGAUUAGAUACCCCCGUAGUCC
rnacentral:rRNA from 1 species